GUCAUAUUAGCUACUAAUUUUCACCAUAAAAACAGUUAACAAUGGCCAGUUUCCUUUAUCAUCGCAACUAUUUUGCAUAUCUUUUAUUCAUUGUUCAUCUCUUCACAUCACCAUAUAUAUUUCUCGUUUCCCUUAUCCCUAACCAGUCUGAGGAAGGGUCUCAACCCGAAACAUCACCUAUUCCUUCUCUCCAGAGAUGCUGCCUGUCCCGCUGAAUUACUCCAGCUUUUUGUGUCCAUCUUCUAUCUUUUCUUUGUUCUUCCAGUUAUAAAUCAAUGUUUAUAUAAUGAAAAUACUUAAUGCCUACUGAAUUACAAAGUAUUGGUGUGUUUCUUUGUGAUUGCCAUCAAAUUCUUGUCCAAAUAAUUGACACUGACAAGCCAGAAGUUUAAAUAGAUGUUAACAGAAAAAUUCCACAGCAACACCUCAUAAAAAGCUUUCUUACAUACAUUGUAACUCAAUGCUACUCUAACAGUUAAUACUGAUCAUUGUGAAUAGAAUUAAGAGCAUAAAAUUGUCUUGCUAGUGAGGGACCUCAAACAGACUUAGGCAUUCUCGAGUGCCUUCACAAGGCAUCUAAAGAUGAGGUUUGUUUGACAGCCAACAUAAUACCUUUGUGAGUGACUUUGCUUUGGUUUGAAACUCAACACCAGGAUUAACAGGUUUCAACCUAGUUCUGGUGCUCAGUUUCAGUUCCAACAUAGUUAUUUGGUCCGAGCGUGGAAAACUACCUACAUCACAGGUAUUCACUGUGUAGGAAUUAAUUCUUCAAAGCUCUAAUGGCAGCUUUAUCCAUCAACAAUGAACAAGAUUUUGGACAUUUAAGGUUUUUAAAAUCGUAUAAACUCCUACCAACAAAGGUGUACAUUUAUCAUGACUGAAUGCAAUCUCUGCAAUCAAAUCUGAGCCUUCUCAAUUUAUUAAGAGGUACAAACAACUUAAAAAAACGUAAUACUUCUUUGUCCUUAAAAAGUAUUCAAAAGCUUAUGAAAAUAGUUCUACCUUGAAGUAUUAAAACAUUAUAAAGCAA